rnacentral:rRNA from 1 species
GAUGAACGCUGGCGGCGUGCCUAACACAUGCAAGUCGAGCGAUUCUCUUCGGAGAAGAGCGGCGGACGGGUGAGUAACGCGUGGGUAACCUGCCCUGUACACACGGAUAACAUACCGAAAGGUAUGCUAAUACGAGAUAAUAUGCUUUUAUCGCAUGGUAGAAGUAUCAAAGCUUUUGCGGUACAGGAUGGACCCGCGUCUGAUUAGCUAGUUGGUAAGGUAAUGGCUUACCAAGGCGACGAUCAGUAGCCGACCUGAGAGGGUGAUCGGCCACAUUGGAACUGAGACACGGUCCAAACUCCUACGGGAGGCAGCAGUGGGGAAUAUUGCACAAUGGGCGAAAGCCUGAUGCAGCAACGCCGCGUGAGCGAUGAAGGCCU